AUUGAACGCUAGCGGGAUGCUUUACACAUGCAAGUCGAACGAGUGGCGGACGGGUGAGUAAUUUAUCGAACGUUGCCCGGUGGGGGGGGUUAACUACUCGAAAAGGGGGCUAUUACCGAUUACUAUGGGGUGGGCGGAUAUCGGAUUAGCUGGUUGGUGGGGUAAGGGCUCACCAAGGCAACGAUCCGUAGCUGGUUUGAGAGGACGACCAGCCACACUGGGACUGAGACACGGCCCAGACUCCUACGGGAGGCAGCAGUGGGGAAUUUUGGACAAUGGGGGAAACCCUGAUCCAGCCAUCCCGCGUGUAUGAGAAGGCCUUCGGGUUGUAAAGUACUUUUGGCAGAGAAGCGGUAUCUGCAGAAUAAGCACCGGCUAACUACGUGCCAGCAGCCGCGGUAAUUC
rnacentral:rRNA from 1 species